rnacentral:rRNA from 1 species
AGGGCGCGCGGGGGAUGCCUUGGCGCCAAGAGCCGAAGAAGGGCGUGGCUAGGCUGCGAUAAGCCUCGGAUAGCUGCCAAGUAAGCUAAACCGGGGAUUCCCGAAUGAGGCAACUCAUCCAGGUAAAACCUGGAUACUUCUGGUUGAACACAUAGACCAGAUAGAGGUAACCGGGGGAACUGAAACAUCUUAGUACCCCGAGGAAAAGAGAUUAUUCCCUGAGUAGCGGCGAGCGAAAGGGGAGAAGCCCAAACCUUGAUGACUCAGUGGUCUUGGGGCCUAUGUCAUCAGGGGGUUGUAAGGCAUAGCGUGUUUUGACCCAGGAAGAAACGGAGAGUUACAAACCAUAACCCUAGUCGAAGGUCUCUGGAAUGAGCUACCAUAGAGGGUGAGAGUCCCGUAGACGAAAGGGGGAGGCUCUCAGCUAUGUCCUUGAGUACCACGGGACACGUGGAAUCCUGUGGGAAGCUGGGGUGACCACAUCCCAAGGCUAAAUACUCUUGGCGACCGAUAGUGAACAAGUACCGUGAGGGAAAGGUGAAAAGAACCCCGUGAGGGGAGUGAAAUAGAUCUGAAACCGCGUGCCUACAAACGGUCAGAGUAUCAGAAGGGCAAAAAGAAGAGGGAGAGGAUAUCUGAGGCUUAAACCUCGAAGCGCUUGAAGCGCUUAAUGAAGGAAGGGGAUAAACCACCUGACCUUCUGUAUUGUCCUAUCCCUUGUUGCCCUUGAUGCGAUGGCGUGCCUAUUGAAGAAUGAGCCGGCGAGUUAAUCUAUGUAGCAAGGUUAAGCAAGUUGACUUGUGGAGCCGUAGCGAAAGCGAGUCCGAAUAGGGCGACUUGAGUUGCAUGGAUUAGACCCGAAUCCGGGUGAGCUACCCAUGGCCAGAGUGAAGUUUCGAUAACAUCGAAAUGGAGGCUCGAACCCGUCAAUGUGGCAAAAUUGUGGGAUGAGUUGUGGGUAGAGGUGAAAUGCCAAACGAACCCGGAGCUAGCUGGUUCUCCCCGAAAUGCAUUUAGGUGCAGCCUCGAGUGAUGAGCUUCGCAGGUAGAGCUCUGGAUGAGCUAGGGGGUGAGAAGCUUACCAAACUCAACCAAACUGCGAAUGGCGAAGCAUUUUAGCUCGGGAGUGAGACGGUGGGAGCUAAGUUCCAUCGUCGAGAGGGAAACAGCCCAGAUCAUCAGCUAAGGUCCCCAAGUGCAGGCUAAGUGAUAAAGGAUGUGGAGUUGCCUAAACAGCCAGGAUGUUGGCUUAGAAGCAGCCACCAUUUAAAGAGUGCGUAAUAGCUCACUGGUCGAGUAGCGCCGCGCCGAAGAUAUAAUGGGGCUAAAGCCUGCCACCGAAGCUAUGAACUUUGAGUGUACUCAGAGUGGUAGGGGAGCGUUCCCUUCAGCGAUGAAGCUCUAAUGCGAGUUAGGGUGGAGCGGAGGGAAGUGAGAAUGUCGGCAUGAGUAGCGUAAGGCGUGCGAGAAACACGCCCACCGAAAGCCUAAGGUUUCCUACGCAAGGUUAAUCCGCGUAGGGUUAGUCGGGCCUAAGCUGAGGCCGAGAGGCGUAGGCGAUGGACAGCUGGUUAAUAUCCCAGCACCGCCCGUCUUCGUUAAGGCUCGGGGAGUACAGGAAGGUAAGCCGAGCGUGCCUAUUGGACAUGGUGCGUCCCUGAUCGUAGGUGCGAGGGGAGGAAAAUCCCCCCUUGCUAUAAGCCGAGGAGAGGGGGAAGUUGCGGGGCAACCCAAGGCGAUUCGGCCGAACCUGACUGUCUAGAAAAACCUCGUUUCUUGAAGGCGAGCGCCCGUACCGCAAACCGCCACUGGUAGGCUAGGGUAAGAACCCUAAGGUGAUCGAGAGAACCCUCGUUAAGGAACUCGGCAAUCUGACCCCGUAACUUAGGGAGAAGGGGUGCCUUUGGGGGUGAAAGGACUAGCUCCUGGAGCUCCUGGGGGUUGCAGAGAAAAGGCCCAGGCGACUGUUUAACAAAAACACAGGUCUCUGCCAAAGCGUAAGCUUAAGUAUAGAGGCUGACGCCUGUCCAGCGCCGGAAGGUUAAGGGGAGGGGUUAGACGGAGAUUAUCGAAGUCGAAGCUCUGAACUGAAGCCCCGGUUAGCGACGGCCGUAACUAUAACGGUCCUAAGGUAGCGAAGCCCCUUGUCGGGUAAGUUCCGACCUGCAUGAAAGGCGUAACGACCUGGGCGCUGUCUCAACGAGGGACUCGGUGAAAUUGAAGUGCCCGUGAAGAUGCGGGCUACCCGCGACUGGACAAAAAGACCCCGUGGAGCUUUACUAUAGCUUGGCAUUGGAUUAAGGCUUAGCAUGUGUAGAAUAGGUGGGAGGCUGAGAAGCCCCGGCGUUAGCUGGGGUGGAGCCGCCGGUGAAAUACCACUCUUGUUGAGUUUUGAUUCUAACCCUUGAACAAGCAAGGAGACAGUGUCAGGUGGGUAGUUUGACUGGGGCGGUCGCCUCCUAAAAGGUAACGGAGGCGUCCAAAGGUCCCCUCAAGGUGGAUGGAAAUCACCUGUAGAGCGCAUUGGUAUAAGGGGGCUUGACUGUGAGACCUACAAGUCGAUCAGGGACGAAAGUCGGGCAAAGUGAUCCCACGGUGCUGUGUGGAAAGGCCGUGGCUUAACGGAUAAAAGCUACCCCGGGGAUAACAGGCUUAUUCCGCCCAAGAGUUCACAUCGACGGCGGAGUUUGGCACCUCGAUGUCGGCUCACCACAUCCUGGGGCUGGAGAAGGCCCCAAGGGUUGGUCUGUUCGCCCAUUAAAGUGGUACGUGAGCUGGGUUCAGACCGUCGUGAGACAGGUCGGUCUCUAUCCGUCGUGGGCGCAGGAGAUUUGAGAGGAGCUCUCCUUAGUACGAGAGGACCAGGAGGGACAGACCUCUGGUUUGCCAGUUGUCCCGCCAGGGGCAUUGCUGGGUAGCUAUGUCUGGAUCGGAUAAGCACUGAAAGCAUCUUAAGUGCGAAGCCGACCUCAAGAUGAGAUCUCCCACCGGUUAACCGGGUAAGACUGCAGCGAGACUAGCUGCUUGAUAGGCGGCAGGUGUAAGCGGAGCAAUCCGUUCAGCUAAGCCGUACUAAUCGGUCGAGGGCUUUUGCA